UUCCGUAGGGUGAACCUGCGGAGGGAUCAUUACCGAGUUUACAACUCCCAAACCCAAUGUGAACGUUACCAAACUGUUGCCUCGGCGGGAUCUCUGCCCCGGGUGCGUCGCAGCCCCGGACCAAGGCGCCCGCCGGAGGACCAACCAAAACUCUUUUUGUAUACCCCCUCGCGGGUUUUUUAUAAUCUGAGCCUUCUCGGCGCCUCUCGUAGGCGUUUCGAAAAUGAAUCAAAACUUUCAACAACGGAUCUCUUGGUUCUGGCAUCGAUGAAGAACGCAGCGAAAUGCGAUAAGUAAUGUGAAUUGCAGAAUUCAGUGAAUCAUCGAAUCUUUGAACGCACAUUGCGCCCGCCAGUAUUCUGGCGGGCAUGCCUGUCCGAGCGUCAUUUCAACCCUCGAACCCCUCCGGGGGGUCGGCGUUGGGGAUCGGCCCUGCCUCUUGGCGGUGGCCGUCUCCGAAAUACAGUGGCGGUCUCGCCGCAGCCUCUCCUGCGCAGUAGUUUGCACACUCGCAUCGGGAGCGCGGCGCGUCCACAGCCGUUAAACACCCAACUUCUGAAAUGUUGACCUCGGAUCAGGUAGGAAUACCCGCUGAACUUAAGCAUAUCAAUAAGCGGAGG
rnacentral:rRNA from 1 species